ACAAUGGUACUUCUGCAUAGCGACAGAUACAAGCAAUCGGUGCAGCUCGGAGAGAUCCUCGGAGGGGUGAGAUUCCCAUGU
ncrna:unclassified sequences pemK RNA